rnacentral:rRNA from 1 species
AAAAACAUCGCCUCUUGCUUAAAUAUAAGAGGUCCCGCCUGCCCAGUGGUUUAGUUUAACGGCCGCGGUAUCUUGACCGUGCAAAGGUAGCACAAUCAAUUGUCCCCUAAAUAGGAACUAGAAUGAACGGCAUCACGAGGGUUUGACUGUCUCCCUACUUUAAUCAAUAAAAUUGAUUUUCCCGUGAAGAAGCGGGAAUAUAAAUAUAAGACGAAAAGACCCCAUGGAGCUUUAAACUUAUCAUCACUUAUCAAAAUUUUAAAACACCACUGAUAAAUAUGAGUGAUAGUUUUCGGUUGGGGCGACCCUGGAGAAAAACAAAUCCUCCAAGCUGUAAAAUAAAAAUAUGCUAGAGCAACAACUCAAACAAUCAAAACCUUGACAAAAUGACCCAGAAUAUAUCUGAUCAACGAACCAAGUUACCCUGGGGAUAACAGCGCAAUCCAUUUCAAGAGCCCCUAUCGACAAAUGGGUUUACGACCUCGAUGUUGGAU